rnacentral:lncRNA from 1 species
AGCAGCAACGGCGGGCGCAACAGGAGCCUCGCCACUGGCCCGCGCACGCGCCCGGGCGGUGGCAGACUUCUGGGCGCGUUUGCGCUCGUUCGCAAUGCUGGAGACCCCCAGACACGGCUGGGACAGGGUCGGGCCGCAGCACCCCAUCCUGGCGGUCGUGGAGGAACGGAUGCGGUGCGCAGCACCGGUGGAAAUCACGGCCUAAAUAGCCGAGAUAGAGUCGGAUCGAGGUCUUACCGGAAAGGGAGCAGGGAGAGUGAGAGUGAGGGAGGGGGUGAGAGAGCCAGGAGUAGGGAUAGGUGAGGGAGCGAGGAGAGCAGGGAGGCCCUGGGCAGUUGGAGGGCUGGGCGAGAGGGCAGUGCCCUGAGCGUGGUCUAGCAGGGGGAGUUGAGGUCCCGGGCUGUGUGUGUUUUGUAUACACGUGUGGUUGCCCUCUCCCCGGGAAUUGGGGCCCGUCGGAGUGAGGGGAAUGGGUUCUGUGCUGUCUGGCAUCAGAGUAGAGAAGACGUAGGUGGCUUGUGGGAGUGGAGAGGAGGUGGGAAAGCGGUGGAGGAGAGGGGUUUGGAGGUGGAGAACAGGUGUUGCUGGUUCCGGCCGGUCAGGGUCAGGAGGGGAGGGGUUUCGGUGUGGUAAGCGGGAGCAGGCGGCGUCUGUGAGCCGUGCCUUUUCCGGGCUUUAUUGGGGGGCGCCGUGCUGGCUUGUCAUCCCCCCCGCGGCUUUAGGUGUUUUUGCUGUGUCUCGCGCUGGGCUGCAUCCAAGAGCCCGCAACCCCCAGGAGGAGACUGACGUGCGGACCAGUUUCGCCUCGUUUGUGAGUGGACCGGCGAGGAAGUGGUGCCACCCUCGGGAAGUGUUCGUUGUUCGUUGCUCGUGGUAGUUGAACAGCUGGCNNNNNNNNNNNNNNNNNNNNNNNNNNNNNNNNNNNNNNNNNNNNNNNNNNAACGAAGGGGAAGAAGAAGGGGGUUCCCCUAAAGGGGAAGAACACACCCCAAAGUCUCUUCUUCGUUUUCUUCGUCUUCUUUAGUUCCCCUAAAGGGGAUGAACCAAAGUCUCUUCUUCUUCCCCUUUAGGGGACUCCGUCUUCUUUAGUUCCCCUAAAGGGGUGAAAACGAAGGGGAAGAAGAAGGGGGUUCCCCUAAAGGGGAAGAACACACCUUUAGUUCUUCCCCUAAAGGGGAACUUUAGGGGAUGUUCNCCUUCGGGGAUGAACUAAAGGGGAUGGGGAACAAAAAGGGGAUAACCAAAGGGGAUGACUUGGUACAAGGAAAGGGUCACGCUAAAAGAUUUGGUAAAACUUGUGGACUGUUUUGGCUCCCCGAAGCUAUUCCCCUUCCCUUCGGCAUCAUCCCCUAAAGGGGAACUAAAGUUCUUCCCCUAAAGGGGAAGAACUUUAGUGCUCUUCUUCUUCCCCUAAAGGGGAACUAAAGUUCCCCUUUAGGGGAUGAACUAAAGGGGAAGAAGGGGUGUGUUCCCCUUCGGGGAGACGAAGAAGAGACUUUGGUUCCCCUUUAGGGGACGAAGACUUUGGGGACGAUGACUUUGGUUCAUCCCCUAAAGGGGAACUAAAGAAGACAACCCUAAAGAAGACAACUCUAAAGGGGACAACCCUUUAGGAGAUAUCAUCCCCUAAAGGGGAAGAACAAGAAGGGGAAAUCAUCCCCCUCUGGGGUUGUCUUCUUUAGUUCCCCUUUAGGGGAUANNNNNNNNNNNNNNNNNNNNNNNNNNNNNNNNNNNNNNNNNNNNNNNNNNGCCGCCUAACGGUCAGUCUAGCGACACAGCUACAGAACGGGCAUGUGGACGAGCGGCGAAUACGCCUGAUGACCGACUUCGUGCAUGAGGCCCUGAACACGCCCGAGGCCCAGGCCCAGCCUGACAAUUCUGCCGAGGUUAGCCGCUUUCAGGCAACCCUGGCACGUUUGUGGCAUGGGGUGCGCUGGGAGAAUGAGAACAAGGAGACCAUGUGGCGUCUCGCCGUGGAUGGCGUGCCCCUACCUGGCAACACGCACCUAGCCCGGGUGCCCACUGAGCCAUGCGGGUGUGGGACCUAUGGGGGCGCCGCCGGCCGACCCUGCCCACCGCGUCUGCACCAUUUCUGGGAAUGUCCAGUCGCACGUGCCGUACGGGAGCAGAUCGACAGGCACCUGCCACACACUCAGACAACAGUAGGGGCCACCACCACCCGGCAGCAGCUCUGGCUUGCCCAAGCGCCACCCGGGUGUGAGCAGGGCCCAUGGGACGUGAUCGCCCUAGCGGCGCUAUCCGCCAUGGAAGUCGGCAGGUGCUGCCUCCGAGCAGCAACCCGGCGACAGGGACGGAGGGGGGUGACAGCAACGGCAGGACCGCAGCAGCAGCAGCGACAGCAGCAGCAGCAGCGACAGCGACAGGUGGUGGGGCAGCCCCAGCAACAGAGGUCCCGCCAGCGGGCCAUCACAGAUUUCUUCACCCCGGCGGAAGGUGCAAUGCAGCAAGAAGGACCCACCCUAAACGCCCCAGCGGAGGAUGGGCCAACGCAGGAAGCAGGGGCGGGAGGGGGCGAGGCGGUGGCAGCAGCAGCAACGGCGGGCGCAACAGGAGCCUCGCCACUGGCCCGCGCACGCGCCCGGGCGGUGGCAGACUUCUGGGCGCGUUUGCGCUCGUUCGCAAUGCUGGAGACCCCCAGACACGGCUGGGACAGGGUCGGGCCGCAGCACCCCAUCCUGGCGGUCGUGGAGGAACGGAUGCGGUGCGCAGCACCGGUGGAAAUCACGGCCUAAAUAGCCGAGAUAGAGUCGGAUCGAGGUCUUACCGGAAAGGGAGCAGGGAGAGUGAGAGUGAGGGAGGGGGUGAGAGAGCCAGGAGUAGGGAUAGGUGAGGGAGCGAGGAGAGCAGGGAGGCCCUGGGCAGUUGGAGGGCUGGGCGAGAGGGCAGUGCCCUGAGCGUGGUCUAGCAGGGGGAGUUGAGGUCCCGGGCUGUGUGUGUUUUGUAUACACGUGUGGUUGCCCUCUCCCCGGGAAUUGGGGCCCGUCGGAGUGAGGGGAAUGGGUUCUGUGCUGUCUGGCAUCAGAGUAGAGAAGACGUAGGUGGCUUGUGGGAGUGGAGAGGAGGUGGGAAAGCGGUGGAGGAGAGGGGUUUGGAGGUGGAGAACAGGUGUUGCUGGUUCCGGCCGGUCAGGGUCAGGAGGGGAGGGGUUUCGGUGUGGUAAGCGGGAGCAGGCGGCGUCUGUGAGCCGUGCCUUUUCCGGGCUUUAUUGGGGGGCGCCGUGCUGGCUUGUCAUCCCCCCCGCGGCUUUAGGUGUUUUUGCUGUGUCUCGCGCUGGGCUGCAUCCAAGAGCCCGCAACCCCCAGGAGGAGACUGACGUGCGGACCAGUUUCGCCUCGUUUGUGAGUGGACCGGCGAGGAAGUGGUGGCCACCCUCGGGAAGUGUUCGUUGUUCGUUGCUCGUGGUAGUUGAACAGCUGGCCUUCGAGGACCAGUGUGCGAGUACUCGCUUUGUGUUGAUCUUUUCUGUACAACCGUGUCUCGGCUUUUGCGGUGUGUCGUCUCAGGCCCGUGGUCCUCCGUGUCUCCCUUGCCUUGCUGGCUGCGUGGGGCCCUGGUUUUUGUGUGUGUAGAGGAGGCCCCCGAGUAGAGCCCCUGCCCCCGGUGGUGUUUUCUUUUUGUUCUGGUUUUGGCGGUCAAGAGGGACGAGAGCGCGUGAAUAGGCAGGCCAGGCGAAGUGGCGCCUUUCGUGCGGCUCUCGCAUAGAUCGGUUCGCAGUCUUCUGCGCCGCUGUGUUGCCUAGCCAGGGGCUGGGAGAGUGUCCCGGUUGGCGUGAGUGAGGGAUCGAGGCGCGCGCGGAGGAACAGACGGACGUAGAGCCGCGCGCCCAUCCCUGCGCUGUGUUUCGGCCCGGUCAGGGCCCCCGGUGCUCGUCCUUUAUCGGGCGAGCCGCCCACAGUGUAACACCCCAUCAACAUCAACAAGUUCCACAACAAGUUCCGCAUAAAUGCGGGGGUGUCCGUAAAAGCGGGGGGCCGCCAUGGACGGUAAAUCGUUUUUAGUGCGGUUACAUGGUGGACCAUCAUCGUCCUCCCGCGUCCGCUUGAGCACGAAGCGCCUUAGAGCCUUAGAGCCUUAGUGCCAGGUGGGGCCUCGGUCAUAAUCGUGCGCAUGUCGCCCCCUAGGAACGCAAAGUCAAGUUCGUAUUUAGCCUAUGCACUUGUGUAAGCCGGGCAUCCCACAAAAACAUGCAUUUCAUCUUCGACCGCCCCGCAGUCACAAAGCCUGCAUGUCCGCGCGGUGCGCUCACGGCCGUUAGGUCGGUUAAUCUCUAACUCCCAACUGUCGCGUCAUACGACUGUAGCAU